UAUGGUGGAAUUUUUAUUGAAGAACCAGGCAAAUAUACAUGCCGUUGACAAUUUCAAAAGAACAGCCCUCAUACUUGCAGUAUGGCAUAACUUGUCAAGUAUCGUCAGCCUCCUCCUUCAACAAAAUAUACCUAUCUCUUCUCAAGACAUGUCUGGCCAAACUGCCGAGGAUUAUGCUGUUUGUUGUGAUUUGAGAAGCAUCCAACAACAAAUUUUGGAACAUAAAAAUAAGAUACUUAAAGAUCAUCUUCGAAACGACAAUCAAGAAGCAGCAGCCACGAAGAAUGAAAGUUUUAAAACACAAGGAGCAAGUUCAAAAGUCUCGCUCUAUCACCAGUCUGGAUUGCAGUGGCACGAUCUCAGAUCACUGCAGCCUCCACCUCCCAGAUUCAAGCAAUUCUCCUGCCUCAGCCUCCCGAGGAGCUGGGACAACAGGCACAUGUGACCACGCCCAG
rnacentral:sRNA from 1 species